rnacentral:rRNA from 1 species
AUUGAACGCUGGCGGCAGGCCUAACACAUGCAAGUCGAGCGGGGUUUUCGGACCUAGCGGCGGACGGGUGAGUAAUGCGUAGGAAGCUACCCGAUAGGGGGGGAUACCAGUUGGAAACGACUGUUAAUACCGCAUAAUGUCUACGGACCAAAGUGUGGGACCUUCGGGCCACAUGCUAUCGGAUGCGCCUACGUGGGAUUAGCUAGUUGGUGGGGUAAUGGCUCACCAAGGCGACGAUCCCUAGCUGGUUUGAGAGGAUGAUCAGCCACACUGGAACUGAGACACGGUCCAGACUCCUACGGGAGGCAGCAGUGGGGAAUAUUGGACAAUGGGCGCAAGCCUGAUCCAGCCAUGCCGCGUGUGUGAAGAAGGCCUUCGGGUUGUAAAGCACUUUCAGUAGGGAGGAAGAGUUGAGUGUUAAUAGUACUCAGCUUUGACGUUACCGACAGAAUAAGCACCGGCUAACUCUGUGCCAGCCGCCGCAGUAACAC